GUAGAAAGGUCCCUGGAACUCCUGCUGUGGCCCCAGGGAGCCCUGAACUCGGCCAAAGGGCUGACCUGCCUGCCCCACCUCCAGUGCACACGCCCACAUCUGCUCCUACACCCUCAGGGUGUCCUGCUGUUGUGUGUUAUCUGUAGGUAAUCAGCAGCUGUAAUCACUCCAGCAGCUCCUUCCCACUGCCUGGUCUGUGGUGUCAAAGGGAGUCACUGUCCGGCAUGGAGUCCCCCAGUCUGCCUGCCGUUGUUCCAGUCAGCAGCUUCACUUCUUGGAGUCUCAGUUUUGCCAUCCUUAAAAUGGGUAUAAUACAAAUGCUACCACAUGAGUGACUGUGGGAAUUCAGCUGGAUCAGCCUUUCAUGAGAUCUGGGAAUCUCCAGGUGACGGAUCUCCUCGGCUGGACCCUCAAAGCCCCUCUCCCAGGAUGGGCUAUGGAAUUAGGGACCCAGUGCAAAAUAAAAAUGUGCAACUCCUUGUUUGAAAAGUAUCAAUACUUUCAAGAUGGCAAC
ensembl:lncRNA